GUAUUGGUGUUGGAGGAGUAAUCACCGGUGGUUUUGGUGGUUUCACAAUAGGUGGCUUUGGAUGUGGUUUAACAAUUGGAGGUUUUGGCACAUGAGGUGGAUGUACUAUCGGAGGUUUGGGAUAAUGAGGAGGUUUUGGAACAUGUGGUGGAUGAACUUUUGGUGGUUUAACAAUUGGUGGUUUUGGCACAUGAGGUGGAUGAACUAUUGGAGGUUUGUGAUAAUGAGGAGGUUUUGGAACAUGUGGUGGUUUUGGUGAUGAUGAUGGAGGUGGUGGCUUAGGAGGAUACUUUGGUGGUAUGUGAAUUGGUGUUAUAGGAGAAUGCGAU
rnacentral:lncRNA from 1 species